UUGGAGAAAACAUCACUUUAAGGGUUGAGAUAAGGUAUUCAUGGUUAGAUCUGAAAAACAAAGACAAGCAGUAAUAAAAACUGGGUUCAUUUGACCUCUAAUCUGACCUCUUGAGAUCAGAGAAUCAUUUGGAAAAAGUCGCCCUUUGGUCUUUUCCAGAGGCCCAGAGGGAAAAUAGUGUUUGCAUCCCUAAGCUGGAGAAGACAUGAUAUUUGUUUCCUAAGUCUGAAUCAGGAUUCGGUGCUUUAAUACUCUGCGGUCUUGUCUGGUGACAGAGCUUCAGUCUUCAUCAUCAACAAUCCAAGAAUUAGUUCAACUUUCACAAGCAACCUGCCUCUCAGAAACCCCAUCUAGGUCUUUGCCAUUAUAAUCUUUAAUUAGAGACCCAUGUGAUGUGAUUAAAAUUUUAUUUUAUAUAUCUUAUUCCAUAAGUCAGUCUUAAGAUUUUUAUUAAAUAUAAUUUAAUAAAAUUGUGUUAAACC